AGAGACCACUUUACAUAUUCUCGGAUUGUUAAACUCAACGCCUAAAUUUGCUUCAUCUUCUUUUCAAUCUCAAAGCCUAAAACUAUCUUCUCCGUUCUCUUAAACAACAAUGUAGUCUCUGGAGUUUGGGCGACUCGAAUCGACGCGAAGAAUCUAGAAGUUGGUAUGCAAACCGUCCACCUCUUCCAUAAUUUCUCAUUCAUUGAAUCUAUUUUUCUUCAAGACGUACGGUGAAUCUGCUGUUAAAUAGAAUGGCUUACUUCUUUCUCCUCCUUGAUGACGUGAAAACCUGGCGAUGUAGCACCACCGAAGUUCAUCUGCUUAGAUUUUGGGAGGCAGAGCCGCUUAAGCAAGCACCAGCACCGGCUGAGGAAUGUAAAGAGAGGCGGCGAGCUGACAUGCUCCUCCUGGACGUAGAGCCACCAUCAAAGUCCACCGUUUGAAUACCUUCGAACAUUUUUUCAAGGCCUGUUCGAUUUACGCCGAAAGCGGGGUGAGCGGGUUUGACGUGACACCAAUCAACCCCAACUACAAACUGUCCAACUCUCCUCCAUCAAUACGUUUCAGUGACUUGACCGACUUUGACGAAAUAACAGAGCCGGUGAGCUCGAUUCCUCAAGAGCUGUUCCAGUUCUCCGAUUACGAACAGCUCCAACACAUCUUCCUGGUCACUCUCUCAAACUCUGCUACUCCCACUUUACAAUCUAAUUCUGUUUUAUAUUUUAAAUGCUCAUUUCUUUCACCAAAUAUUAUUUCUGAAUUAACCGCCAUUAGGAGUACUGUGAAUGACUCCUCAUAAGGCAAAUAAUGUGUAAUGUCUGCCAUCCGAAUCAGCAGUUUUGUCUUAACUUUGCUUAUAAAGAUCUCUACGAUAUCAUAAAUCAAGUAGAACUACUAAGACAUGUUACCAUUAUGUACUUGGUCUGAAAUUUGCAGUGAUUCCUUGAGCCU